UGUUCUGUGGCUUAGUUGGUUUAAGCGCUGGUCUAGCGAAAAAGGAGUCGUGGGUUCGAAUCCCACCAGAACGC
rfam:Aedes albopictus isolate Foshan contig50502, whole genome shotgun sequence.